rnacentral:piRNA from 1 species
UGACACAGAUGCUUAGAGCUGAGGACUGC